rnacentral:misc_RNA from 1 species
AGAUGGCACUGUGGAUGUG